rnacentral:lncRNA from 1 species
CUAAAAUAAGGGUGACUCAACUAGAGGUUGUGUACAACACGUGUACUACGGACUUGUUGCAGAAAGAAAGCCGGGGGGUGGACUUAUGAUGACAGAUAUAAAGCGGUAACACAUAGGAUAAAUACUAUAAACAAAGAGCACGAAAACGCACAAAAGUGAAAAUAACACAAACAAUAACCACAAACAAUGCUUAUACACUCGUAAUGCCAAACAAAGCCGAUACGACUCCAAAAAUAGCUCGAAUUCUCAUACUUUCCCCACAGAGUCUCCAGAGCUGUCACACCCCUUUU